GAAAUGCGAUACGUAAUGUGAAUUGCAGAUCCGUGAAUCAUCUAAUCUUUGAACGCAUAUUGCGCCCUCUGGUAAUCCGGAGAGCAUGCCUGUUUGAGAAUCGAUAGACUCUCUCAACCACUACUGGUUGGAUUUGGGCUCUUGUAUUUAACAAAGCCUAGAAAACAGUGUUGACCUUUGGCCCUACUGUUGCUUAAAGUCGUGUUUGAUGUCGCAAGACUUUUUACGCCUUUCUGAAACAUUAAGUAGUCCAAGGGGCUUCUCAGACCAACAGCCUCGGCUGACUCUAACAAUAUUUUGUUGACUUGGUCUCAAAUCAGGCAAGAGUACCCGCUGAACUUAA
rnacentral:misc_RNA from 1 species